rnacentral:tRNA from 1 species
UGGGGCAUAGCUCAGUGCUAGAGCACAUGCUUAGCAUGCACCAGACCCUGGGUUCAAUCCCCAGUACCCCCA